rnacentral:misc_RNA from 1 species
AAAUCCUCAAGAUAAAAUCUUCCGUUCAUUCGAUUGGUUUUAUUUUGGACUUUGGAGGUCUUGCAGAUUCCCAUGUCUGCUCCUCUCAAAUGCAUUAGCUGGAUCUCCAUGAAGCCUUGGUUCCACUCGGCGUGAUAAAUAAUCGCUCGCUGAGGACACUGUAAAAAGUGGCCAGGUUCCACAGAUGAACUGCUUCCAACCCGUCCUUUAGGUAGGACAGUUGAACUUUUAUG